rnacentral:ribozyme from 1 species
GUCAAAAAAAAAAAAGACAAAAAAAAAAAAAAAAAAAAAAAAAAAAUUUUUUUUUUUUUUUUUUUUUUUUUUUUGUCUUUUUUUUUUUU